UUUGGGUUAAAUGGCACACGAUGUUAGA
rnacentral:piRNA from 1 species